UUUUUGCGUGAGGGAUAGAAGUGGAAAUCCUUUUUUAUGCAGCGACAGCGGAAUAAAAAAGAUUGCAGCGAAUAGCCCGACCCUUG
rnacentral:sRNA from 1 species